UACGGGAGGCAGCGGUGGGGAAUAUUGCACAAUGGGCGAAAGCCUGAUGCAGCUAUGCCGCGUGUAUGAAGAAGGCCUUAGGGUUGUAAAGUACUUUCAUCGGGGAGGAAAAAACAAAACUAAUAAUUUUAUUCUUGACGUUACCCGAAAAAGAAGCACCGGCUAACUCCGUGCCAGCAGCCGCGGUAAUACGGAGGGUGCUAGCGUUAAUCAGAAUUACUGGGCGUAAAGAGCACGUAGGUGGUUUUUUUAAGUCAGAUGUGAAAUCCCUGGGCUUAACCUAGGAACUGCAUUUUGAAACUGAAAUACUAGAGUAUCGUAGAGGGAGGUAGAAUUCUAGGUGUAGCGGUGAAAUGCGUAGAUAUCUGGAGGAAUACCUGUGGCGAAAGCGGCCUCCUAAACGAAUACUGACACUGAGGGUGCGAAAGCGUGGGGAGCAAACAGGGAUUAGAUACC
rnacentral:rRNA from 1 species